rnacentral:lncRNA from 1 species
UUGGAGGUUGCAGUGAGCCGAGAUCACACCACUGCACUCCAGCCUGGGCAACAGAGCAAGACUCCGUCUCAAAAAAAAAAAUUCCUUUCUGGAUAAAAAUAACAGUUCAGAGUCUCAAAUUAUCUCUAUCAUUUUCCACACACAGUGCUUGGCAGUCAAUAAAUGGGCUCUGGAGUAAGAAAAAGACAAGACAGGGGUGAAAACCUGGGAGAAAAAUCAGACAAUCAGACAAUAGAAACAGACCCACGAGGAUCCUGAUCAUGGAAUUAUCCAUGAUGAAUGCGAUCAAGGAUGAAAAGGCAAGAUUAAGAAUUUUUGGCAGAGAACUGGAAAGUAUAAAAAAAGAACCAAGUGGAAAUUCUGUGAAAAGUGAAAAGUACAGAAACUGAAAAUACCGCUGGUGGGUCUGAUAGCAGGAAAUGUACAAAUGAAAGGCAUAGAAGAAAAUAGUCUGGACAGAAGCACAGAGAGACAAGAGGGGGGAAUCGCAGGGUAGAGUUUAAAGAAAAUAUGGGAUAGAAUGAAAAGAGCAAACAUACCUAUAAUUGGGGUCACAAAACAGGAGGAGAAAAAAUGUGGCAGAAGCAAUAUUUAAAAACUGAGAGUUCACCAACACUGACAAAAGGCAUUCAGGUGUAGAUAUAAUCAUCCUUACAAACUCCGCCAGGGAACCUCCUGAGAAAAGAAGCCCCUGCCGUUACUGAGGUGAUGGUUAUGAUCCAUUAUAUUCUCCCUCCCCACACCUGCGCCCUGUGCUUUUGUUGCCCUUAGUACACUUUGCCCUUUUUUUUCUUUUUUUUUUGAUGGAGACUCACUCUGUUGCCCAGGCUGGAGUGCAGGAGCGAUCUCGGCUCACUGCAACCUCUGCCUCCCGGGUUCAAGCAAUUCCCCUGCUUCAGCCUCCCAAGUAGCUGGGACUACAGGCACACGCCGCCACGCCUGGCUAAUUUUUUGUAUUUUAGUAGAGAUAGGGUUUCACCAUGUUGGCCAGGAUGGUCUCGAUUUCCUGACCUUGUGAUCUGCCCGCCUCAGCCUCCCAAAGUGCUGGGAUUAUGGGCGUGAGACACCACGCUUGGCCACUUUGUCCUCAUAUUUAUUUAUUUUUUGUACUUCUUAAAAAUUUUUUUAAUUAAAAAAAAAAUAGAGACAGGGUCUUUCUAUGUUGCCCAGACUAGUUUUGAACUCCUGGGCUCAAGUGAUCCUCCUGCCUUGGCAUCCCAAAGUGCUGGGACUACAGACAUGAGCCUGUCCUCAUAUUUACUGAUGAGUGUAUUAGUGCUAUAAUGAUAUGUAGCAAAUAACUCCAAAACAUAUUGGCUUAAAACCACAUAAUUACUUAUCAUGUGCCAUGGUGUCCUUGGUUUAGGUGUCAGGAGAGGUUUAGCUGGGUGGUUCUGGCCUCUCAGGAGGCUGCAGCUGGGCCAGCUGUCAACCAGGGAGGCGGUUCACUGAAGGCUGAGCUGGGCCUUGUAGGUCCUCUUCCAAGGUGGCAAGUUGGUGCUGGCGAUCGACAGGAGGCCUCAGUUUCCCUUCGCAAGGGUCUUGCCAUGGGGCUGCUUGCAUGUCUUCGUGGUGUGGCAGCCAGCUUCCUCCAGAACGAGUGAGCCUGGAGUCAGAGGCAGAGGCCAGGAUGCCUUUGUGACCUUGAUGUGAAGGUCACACACUAGCAUGUCUACCGAGUUGUGUUGGUCACAUAGGUCAGUCUUUUUUUUGAGACGGUCUUGCUUGAUUGCCCAGGCUAGAGUGCAGCUAGAUCAGCUAGGGGCUUGAUCAUGGCUCACUGCAGCCUUGACCUCUCAGGCUCAAGGGAUCCUCCCGUCUCAGUCUUCCAAGUAACUGGGACCACAGGCAUGCGCCACCAUGCUUGGCUACUUAAUUUUUUUUUUUUUUUUUAGAGAUAGGGUCUUGCUCUAUGGCCCAGGCUGGCUUUGAAUUUAUUUUUAUAUUAUUGUGGUAAAAUAUAUAUCACAAACCAUGCCAUGCUAAUCCUUUUCAGAUGUGCAAUUCAGUGGUGUGAAUUAUAUUCACAAUGUACAACCAUCACUACAUCUACUUCCAAAACCUUCCCACCACUCCAUGUAGAAACUCUGUAUCCAUUAAUCAAUAACUCCCAUUCCCCCAUCUCUCCCCAUCCCUGGUAGCCCCUAAUCUGCUUUCUGUCUCUGUGAAUUCUGCCUAUUCUAGGAACCUCAUUUAAGUAGAAUCCUGUGGUUUUUGUCCUUUAGUGCCUGUGUUAUUUCACUCAACAUAAUGUUUCCGAAGUUCCUCCAUGUUGUAACAUGUGUCAGCAUUUUGUUCCUUUUCAUAGCUGAGUGCUAUUCCAUUGUAUGGACAUACCACAUCUCCUCCAUCCAUUCAUCGGUUGAUAGGCCAGCCCCACAUCAACAAGAGAUGCAACUCCAUGGGGUUGUGAACAUCACCAGGAUGUGGGGCUCACUGGGGGCCAUCCUAGGGGACGGCUGCCCUAGUAGAUUUUGUGUUCAAAGCCAAGUCUCCACUAGAAUUUCACCUUCACGGGGUCAAGAACCCAGUCUGCAUUUUUACCCCAGUUCGCAGCAGAGGGCCUGACAUGAAGCAGAUGUGCAGUUGAGGAGGCAGCCCACUCACUGGGGAGCUGCAGAGGGAGACGGUGCUGGUUGCUGGGGUCCAGGAAGCUUCUGGAAUGAAGGAACAACAGAACUAGCUUCUUCUCAGAGCCAGGACAAUGAGGACAGGCUGAGGGAUGUCAGACCAUAGCCUUGUCUCCCGCGGGCCAGGCAGAGCAUCCCAGGACACCCACCUUCACAGGCCAUUGUGAAGAUGAAAUGGGAGAACACAAGGCAAAGACCUGAUGCAGGGCCUAGGACAUGGAAGUCCCCAGCAAAGAUUUCCUCCUUCCUUGGGACAAGGCAGUACUGAACAGUACAGAAAGGAGAAUGAAAAGUAGGAAGAAGAAAUUAAGAUCUUGAAGCAGUCACACAAAACAGAAUCCCAAAGUAAUAUAACCAAAAGGGAUUUAGGUGUGUUUUACAGAAAAUGUUUAAGAGGGAUGAUUGGAAAGUAUUAUGUAGAUAUAUUUGUGUAUGAUAUGCUUCUGCAAUAGAUACAGUCAGAAUUUGGAAUCAGAAUUUCUGGGCUCCAGGAAUUACUAUUUUAAUUUUUUCUACCAAAGUUUAGUUUCUUCUACUCCAGAAUUUCAUACAAAUCGAAUCAUAUGACCGGGCAUGGUAGCUCACACCUAAAAUCCUGGCACUUUGGGAGGCCAAGACAGGAGGGAUUGCUUGCACCUAGGAGUUCGAGACCAGCCUAGGCAACAUAAUGAGACCCUGUCUCUACAAAAACAUUAGCCUGGCAUGGUGGCAUGCAUUUGUACUCCCAGCUACUUGGGAAGCUGAAGCGGGAGGAUCACUUGAGCCCGAGAGGUUGAGGCUGCAGUGAGCUGUGAUUGCACCACUGCACUCCAGCCUGGGCAACAAGGCAAGACCCUGUAUAAAAAAAAAAGAGAGAGAGAGAGAGAGAAAUUAUAAAGCAUAAAGUGUGAAAUCUUUUGCAUAAGGCCUCUUUUACCAGCAUGGUGAUUUUGCAAUUCAUCCGUGUUAUUGCAUGUACCAGUGGGUGGCUCUUUCUAUUGCUGAGACGUAUUUCAUUGCAUGGAUAUACCACAAUUUGUUUAUCCCCAAUGGACAUUUGGGCUCUUUCCAGUAUUUGGAAAUUAUAGAUAAAUAGAUAAAACUGCUACUAAUAUUUUUGUUCAAGUCUUUUUGUGAACCAGACUUUUUUUACUUUAAUAGAUAAGUCAUGUUACCUUUAAAUUGUCAUCAUUUCCAUAUGUUUAAUAGCUGGUGAGGCUGUGCAUUUUUCCCUCUGAUGAUAAUCCCAUUUCUUGAGUGCUGGCUAUAGUGACAGGUGCUCUAAUUUGUCCUCAUGAGAAUCCUGCAAAGUGGAUGUAAUCAUAUCUAUAUUAGUCUGUUUUCACACUGCUGAUAAAGUCAUGCCUCAGACUGGGCAAUUUACAAAGGAAACAGGCUUAAUUGGACUUACAGUUCGACGUGACUGGGGAAGCCUCACAAUCAUGGCAGAAGGCAAGGAGGAGCAAGUCACAUCUCAACAUGGAUGGCAGCAGGCAAAGAGAGAGAGCUUGUGCAGGGGAACUGCUCUUUUUAAAGCCAUCAGAUCUCGUGAGACUUAUUCACUAUCACAAGAACAGCACGAGAAAGCCCCGCCCCCAUGAUUCAAUUACCACUGGGUCCCUCCCACAACACGUGGAAAUUGAAGAUGAGAUUUGGGUGGGGACACAGCCAAACCAUAUAAAUAUCCAUUUUCCAUAAGAAGGGAGAGGCACAGGCUCAUCAAGCAAGUUGGGUGUGUGGACUCUGAAUUAUUACUGAAGCUGGGCUCACUCUAGGCCACACUGUGGCUCCCUUGGGCUGUGACAAUGGCUCCUGAGCAAACCAGUUGAACUCAUCCUUUGCUCACUUCCUGGAAAGGCAUCUAGACCUGCACAUUAUACAUUUCUACCAAUUUUAAUCAUUUGCAGUUAGAUUGGUGAUAUAUUUUUCUCAAUUCUGUUGUUUUCCUUUAAUACAUCUUUUGCUAUAUUUUGUUGCAUAAACAUUUAUUUAUUCAGACCCAACUAUUUUGUCUGAUGACAAGCUCAAUUUUUCAAGAGCCAGAAAUUUAUCUUUGCUCCACUGCUAGAAUAAAUCUGCAGUUCUGCUUUCUUAUUUUUAAUGUUUUUUGUGUUUUGCUUUCUGACAUAUUGGAUAUGCAGCCACAUACCUAUGGGAAGUAUCUGCUCAAUAAAUCGCAAAAUGGAAA